rnacentral:rRNA from 1 species
UCUAGUAGCUGGUUCCCUCCGAAGUUUCCCUCAGGAUAGCUGGUGCAUUUUAAUAUUAUGUAAAAUAAUCUUAUCUGGUAAAGCGAAUGAUUAGAGGCCUUAGGGUCGAAACGACCUUAACCUAUUCUCAAACUUUAAAUGGGUAAGAACCUCACCUUUCUUGAUAUGAAGGUUGAGGUUAUGAUAUAAUGUGCCCAGUGGGCCACUUUUGGUAAGCAGAACUGGCGCUGUGGGAUGAACCAAACGUAAUGUUACGGUGCCUAAAUUAACAACUCAUGCAGAUACCAUGAAAGGCGUUGGUUGCUUAAAACAGCAGGACGGUGGACAUGGAAGUCGUAAUCCGCUAAGGAGUGUGUAACAACUCACCUGCCGAAGCAACUAGCCCUUAAAAUGGAUGGCGCUUAAGUUGUAUACCUAUACAUUACCGCUAAAGUACAUGAUUUAUAAUAUAAUUUCGGUUAUAUUAUAAAUUUUGAAACUUUAGUGAGUAGGAGGGUACAAUGGUGUGCUUAGAAGUGUUUGGCGUAAGCCUGCAUGGAGCCGCUAUUGGUACAGAUCUUGGUGGUAGUAGCAAAUAAUCGAAUGAGACCUUGGAGGACUGAAGUGGAGAAGGGUUUCGUGUGAACAGUGGUUGAUCACGAGUUAGUCGGUCCUAAGUUCAAGGCGAAAGCCGAAAAUUUUCAAGUUUUAAUGAAAUGAAAAUGUAUAAUUUUCAUAGUAAUUAAACACUUGAAUAAUUUUGAACGAAAGGGAAUACGGUUCCAAUUCCGUAACCUGUUGAGUAUCCGUUUGUUAUUAAAAAUGGGCCAUUGUGCUCAUCCUGGCAACAGGAACGACCAUAAAGAAGCCGUCGAGAGAUAUCGGAAGAGUUUUCUUUUCUGUUUUAUAGUCGUACUACCAUGGAAGUCUUUCGAAGAGAGAUAUGGUAGAUGGACUAGAAGAGCAUGACAUUUACUGUUGUGUCGAUAUUUUCUCCUCGGACCUUGAAAAUUUAUGGUGGGGUUACGCAAACUUCUCAACAGGCCGUACCAAUAU